rnacentral:rRNA from 1 species
UUGCAACGAUGAAGAACGCAGCGAAAUGCGAUACGUAGUGUGAAUUGCAGAAUUCCGCGAAUCAUCGAGUCUUUGAACGCAAGUUGCGCCCGAGGCUUGUCCGAGGGCAUUUCCGCUAGAGCGUCACCGCGCCCCCCAAACACCGAUCCAAGUGCACAGCUUGGGUCGAGUGGAGCUGGCCGUCCCGACCUGGCGUCGCGCCGCGACGUCGACCGGGUCGGCUGAAAUGGAGAGAAACUGGCCGCCGUGGCGACACGGCCCGCGAUCGGGUGGUCCGAGCGCUAACCCGCUCGGAGUUAUUUCAAAGCGCGGCCGCGUCACCCAGUUGGUCCAGCCUCGAACAGCAGGUGUCUCGACGGGGUUGACGGGGUUAACGCCUCGUUGAUCCGUCGGGAGAAGCGUCACGCAUCAGACCUCUAAUCGGAAAAGACCACGCGCUGAAUUUAA